AAAAAUAUUAAGAAUACAUGAUUUAAAUGCUUUGGGCUUUAGCAACAUUUACUGAGUGAUAGUAAAACCUAAAGAUUUCUUCUGAGACCAAAUUUCCAUUUCAUUUGCAGAAGGCCACUUCAUUUAGCCAUUUUCCAUUCACAUAAAGAAAUAUUACCUCAAGAUUAUUAAUGCAACUCUCUGUUGUUAAUUUCUUCUACUUAAAGGAAGUUCUCUGAGAAAGAAGCUAACUUAUUUAUAAAAUUAUGUAUUUGAACUUGAGCCAAGUUAUUUCAUGUAUUAAUGCCACUGAAAGUUGCUCGAUAUAGUACAGGUAGUUUGUACAUUCAUUUUCUUUUCUAUAAUUGAAGACCAAAUAUUUCAAACAAUAAAAAGGAUUUCUAAUAUCAGAUUUAUUUCAGAUCCCUCAAGAAAAAAGGUAUAUAUUAUUACAUUUCCUGUUACAGAAUUUAGAAAUAUUUUCUCUGAUAAUGAAGGCUGUCAUUGAUUUUAGGAAAACUCAAAACUACAUGUAAAAACAAAUAUGCCAAGCAUUAAGUUUGAAAAUUCAAGCUAAAUGCAAGAAGUAUGGUUUGCCAAGAAUUUUAAGUUUAAUCCUGACACAGGUUAAUACUAUUUAAGGUAGGUUUUCUGUAGUGCUAACUUAUCAUUGGUUUUCUUUUUAAAUGCUAUUUUGUCUUUAAUUAAUGCAUAAUAAUUGUUCAUAUUUAUAGAGUACUGUUUGAUGUUCUGAUAUAUAAAUACACCGCACAAUAAUCAAAUUAGCACAGUUAGCUUAUCUAUCCCCUCAAAGGUUAUCUUUUCUUUGUAGUGAGAACAUUCCAUAUCUUUUAGUUACUUUGAAGUGUGUAAUCCAGUUUGUUAACAUAGUUACCUUAGUAAACAUCAGACCUUACUUUUCCUAACUGUAAUUUUGUACCUGUUGGCCCUUCUUUUCCCAUCUCCCACUCAUCCUGAGACCAAAUGUGAACAUCAAACAUAGAGUUCACAUGCAUAAGCCAUUCUCUUUCCAUCAGUUCUUUUGAUUUAAAAAAAAAAUCAUUCUACUUCAGGGAUUUUGUUUUGUUUUCAGCUUCUUUUUAUUUAGGUAAUUC
rnacentral:lncRNA from 1 species